rnacentral:lncRNA from 1 species
UCUGAUUAAUUACCAACCACAUAACUUGGUAUUCUCACUUCCUCUAGUGGCAUCCCUGGAUGACUCAACAGUCCUUAAUACAUAACUGGUGAGAAGCAGCUGACAAUGCAGAUUGCAAAGAAUGGUGCGAUACGAUUUGUUAAUGUUUUCAUCCCUAUUUCAUUUGAAACAGAAUGAUCUGCCAUUUCCUGCCAGGAGAGGCAGAGCUUCCUUCUGCAGAUGAAGAAGGUGGUGAUGCUGCUGGAGAAACCUGGCAGGCUUCUGGUCUCUGUAUGUACAAAGAUGGAGAACAGCUGGAAAUCAAAGGAGAAGGAGAAUCCUCUUCCUAUCCUCUUGCUCUUCUGAGUGCCAACACUUUUCCAUGUGAGUAGUCGGUCCUUACGUAGCAGAGUUUGGAAGCCACAUCAUUGGUUGCUUAUU